rnacentral:snoRNA from 1 species
GGACGAUGAGGAGAAAGCACCUCCUCUGAAACCGGCGUGAGUGAUGAGACGCCCACGGUCCGAGU